AGAUCCUCAUGUUCAUAAAAUCAACAAGAUGCUCUCAUUCACUGAAAAGCCAGAUCUCAGACUUGUUGAUUGGCUUUUAAGGAGCAUUGAUGAGCUGCAAAGGAUCACCUCUCAGAGAUGCUCAAGGAUAGGAAAUGCAUCAUUAAGAGUGGCCAAAAGAAGGUGAGAGGAGAAAAGAAAUUAUAUUUUCCUGCUCCAGCAAAAUAGAAGACAGAAUUAACAUUAUUGGGAUAUUGAUAACUCAAUAGCUAAUAUUAUUUCAUGAUCCUACCCAGAAGCUUCAGCGCAAUCAGGGGUCAACUGUUAAAAUCUUAGAAGUAAGCAGUUUCCUAUCACUUCUGAUAUCUCAGCCAUGUAUAGAUGAAACUACUUUAUGGCAAGUCCACCCACCUGGAGACCCUUGGUCAUGUCAGUGGUACCAUAUAGCAACUUGAAUUAGAGAUGGCUGGAAGAUCUUGUGUGAAUAAUAAAAACAUGAACCUGUUACUUGAAGGACUCAACUGAUGAAAUUGUUAUUUCCAGGAACAGAAGAAACACCCGUAAGUAAUUUGAAAAGCGUGUUUUGCAAACAUAUGCUAAUGUAGACCUCUGUAUAUAGAGAUGCCAUUUGGGAGGCAAAUGCAAGUUAACUUGGUGUCUAUUCAUACAUUAAGUAAAAUUCAUGACUUGAAAGUAAUUCAUAAAAGCAAUAUUAUGUGGCCUGUGAUAUUUUAAGUGUGAAGAAAUCGUGAUUCAUUUUUCCUAUAAUUACACAAAAUAUGUAAGCAAAGACUUUACAACAGGAAGCUUUUCAUUAACCUCAUUUUCAAAAGACUGACCUUCUAACACUCUUACUCCUUUCCCUAUGAAUUGUAUUUACUAAAGAUUUACUAUAAAAGAGAGCAGUACCAAUUGCAUUUUGGAUAUGGUCAAAAUACAGAGAGCAACUGUCUCUACUGUUUUAAUUCUGUAUUUUGUCUUUCCCCUGAACUUCCAGAAUGAUUCUAGUAUCUGAUCACGUAAGAGAUGAAAUAGGUAUUUUG